rnacentral:lncRNA from 1 species
GCUGAACUUAGGGACCUCCUCGGUCCAGUCUGACCUCAUCUUAAGUAAAUUAUAUCUACAAAGACCCCUUUCCCCAAGAACAGUCAUAUUCUGAGCCCAGGGCGGACAUGAGUUGGGGAAGCUGUUUGCUUGCCACAGUUUUAUCCUUGCUUUCAUGGAGUAAACAGCUGCAGGCCUUCCUGGGAGAGGUGAGGUGUGCACCAAGGAAGCCUCAGAAUAGACCAGUGGCUUACGGGGAGGUGGUGCGAGUGAAGGCACAUGAACAGAGGUACCGUGAGGGAAGCCAGAGAACCCUCAACUAGUCAUGCUCAGGGCUUUCCUUGAGUUGACACUGUCAGAGGUUUGGAUGCCUAGGGACAGCAGAGAGAUUCUAAGAAUAGGAGGAAAGUAUUGGUCAACAGAAAUUGUGCGCUUAUAGCUCCUGUGAAACCCGGAGAGCAGUCUCUAGCCCUGGGAAAAUUGGAGUUAAUAGAAAGAUGACCAAUGUUUUCAAAGAGAGACAGGUAGGGCCAGCAAGAUGGCUCGGUAGGUAAAGGUGCCUGCCAACCAGCAAGGCUGACAACUUGAGUUCAUUCCUUUGAACCCACAGCAGACAUACAGAUGCACACACACACACACACACACACACACACACACACACACACACGCUACCCAGAACACACAUGUACACAUAUUUUAAACUAGAGUAAGAGGCAUGCAUUUAGUCGUAUGUAAUAUUUAUAGACAACACUCAAACCCCAGGCCAUGAAGAACAAAUUGGAAUGUCUAAAGAAGGCGUAUUGUUAGGCUUUAGGAGAUUAUAAAAUUAAAUGCCAAUAUAAACAUUGUGUAUAUGGGUAUAUGUGUAUAUGGGUAUAUGUGUAUAUUAUCCGGGAGAAGGUUCAGACUUGCAUUAGAUCCAGAAGGCUGUCCAGACCCAUGAAGAGUGUUCACAGACUGAAGAACUCUUAGUUUCAGAGAAAAAGACAAGUAGACCUCUCUUUAUAAUCUCCAGGGAGUAACUUAUUCCUUUAGUGUAUCAUGGUACAAACAGAAAAAUAUCGCUGGGCACAGUUACCUCUGUCCUAGGAUCUGGAAGUUAGCUUUGUUUUAAAAGUAUAUGUAAGUAAUUUAGUUACAGAAAUAAAAACAAAACCCUCACUUCCCUUCUUUUGUCAGCCCUCCCCUGCCCCUUAUGGCCAGCUCCUGGUAAGAGGUGUCCUCCCGAGGCCUUGGGAACUCUGCUUUCCUCCAGAGGGGCAGCCAACUGGGAGUGUGAGCGGGUCUGCAGAUGCCCAGCCACCAAGCGCUGCUGAUAGCUGGUUCUUUUUGUUUGCUGUCCUCACCUGGUUUGGAAAUAUCCGCUUCUUCCUUCAGCCGCUCUCUAGCCACUUUCUCAGCCCCUCACUUUCUUUUUCUGUGAGAGUACACGAAACUUCCCCCCUAACUAACUUUCCUCCUUGGAGGAAGGCUCAGCAGGGGUUCUCAUGCAUUCCUUCAGUCUCUCCUACCUUGGUGAGGUAGCUGAGCCGAGCCUUAACUCUUCCUCACAGGGUCAGUUUGUCUUGUGUGCACGCUCUUGUCAGGUGUCCUGGUUUGCUCCCCAUUAGCUCAUACUUCCCUCAAAAAUACUGGCAGUUUGACAAGUAGGCUUGUAUUUGGCCCAAGGACAAAUGGGAAUUUUGUUUCCUCUUUUUAUUUUAUAUUAGCUCUAAUGUCUUAAAAUUUUUAAUUGAAAUAACUUAGGAAACAAAAAUCUGUCUCUUUGGUUGAUCUAGAUUAUCAAAGAACAGUGAAAUGAAAAGGUUUCUAGCUUAUAUACUUCAUAAAAGUGAAAAACAGGGAUACCAGCUAUGCUUUGUUAAUUAAUAUGAUGAAUACUUGAGAAGAUUCAGGGCUUGGGUUCAGAUCUACAGGUCGACACGUCUCCUGACCUUGGAGAGGUUCCAUUUCUUAGUUUGCAGAGUGCACAGGGCAUCAGACAUCGCUGGCUGGGUUGUAUGUGCUCCUAGAACUUAGAGGUGCUCUAGCUGCUAUAUUGUCACCAUGUUAUCCAUUUUCACUGACACUCAGCUCUGGAGCUGAGAGAUGGCUUGGGUAAAAGGCUUGCUGGGCAAGCAUGAGGUCCUGAGUUCUGUUCCCAGAAAUCACAUAAAAAGUAGGCAGGGAGGCACCUGUCUGUAGGUAGUGCUGCAGGGUGGUAGAGCUGGCAGAUUCCAAGAGCUGACCAGCUGUGCAGUCUAACUGAAACAGCAGUGGGAGACCUAAAAACAAAAACAAAAAAC